UGCAUUCUUGCUCAUUGCUCUUUGACUUAUAUUUGUCUGCAGCUGGUAUGUUAUCUAUUUAGUAUCCAGUCCCCAAAGCAAAAUGUUUUUAUUAGUCCUGCACUUCAUUUAUUUCCUAGUGUGCUUCUAUCUGUGGUUGUGUUGUUCUUAUUGUCACUAGUAUGCACUCACUAGCCUAUUCAGUUUAAGCUUAGCAUGCUCCCCUCACCUAUUCCCUGUCUCAAUGUAUGUUUACUUUCCUUGAGUAUUACCACCAUGUGUCCAUGGUUGCUUCGCUACUUGAUUAGUUUUAAAACAUCUUCAUGAGGUUAAGUAUUUGGGGUUUGGUGCAGUAAGAACUGAAACCCCUUAUUUGUUGCAACUGUGUUUGAUUACCUGCCUUCAUUAUGUUUGUCUGUGUGUGAGUAGGUCCCUGUACUUAUCUGUUCCCUCCUCCUUUUGUGUUUGAUUAUCUACCUUCAUUGUGUUUGCCUGUGUGUGAGUAGGUCCCUGUACUUGUCUGUUCCCCCUUCCUUUGCCCCUGUUUGUGUGAUGCUCUGUUUUAAACUUGUUAGUACCAAUGAUUUCAAAAGAAUUCCUUUCAACUUUCUCAACUCUCUUAAACUAAUUUCUCAAACUCUUUCUCAACUCUUUUCUCAAACUAACUCUCAACUGUUUUAAAAUCCUGUCACAACUUCACUACUCUUAGUCUCUUAGAUCCCUAGGUUCUGCCCCCUUGGUGCAAGCACUCCCAUGGGAACCUUGAGCACCAAAGGAACUCUGAUGCCCAAGGCUGGCUUCCAAAUGUUUGAAACUGUCCAAUUGGGACAUCUUUGGGUGCCUGGUAUUGGCCAGAGGUUCAAACAAACCCUUAGGGAACUUUGCUGCACCCAAGCCUUGGUGAUGGCCGUGAAACUCGAAAGGAAUAAGG
rnacentral:lncRNA from 1 species